UAAAGUCGUAACAAGGUCUCCGUAGGUGAACCUGCGGAGGGAUCAUUAC
rnacentral:rRNA from 1 species